GCGGGUUGGUGCUCACGACGAGCGCGGAGAGGGCGGCCGAGACCGCCUCGUUGAUCGCCGUCUGCCGCGCGACGUCGCCAAAUACACCGCGCAACACUCGUCGAUGGAUCCCACCCUCGGAUGACGAGGGAUGGACGCCGCCGCAAGCCGCCUGCGCCAUGGCAAACGCGCACGCGUGCAGCGGCGUCCAUCCCCUGCCGCUGACGACGUUGUCGCCGAGGUUGACGAGGGCACCCACGGCGGCGGCGCCGCGGUGGCGGAUGAUCGCGGCUAUGACCGCGUUCACGGUGUUCGAGUCCCCAGACGUGCAGGCGGCGCGGAGCAACGUGGCGAUGCCGGCGUUGGUGUUC
rnacentral:lncRNA from 1 species